GACGAACGCUGGCGGUGUGCUUAACACAUGCAAGUCGAACGGUAAGGCCCUUUCGGGGGUACACGAGUGGCGAACGGGUGAGUAACACGUGAGUAACCUGCCCCCAUCUCUGGGAUAACAGUCGGAAACGGUUGCUAAUACUGGAUAUGAGCUUGCAUGGCAUCUUGUGGGUUGGAAAGAUUUUUUUGGUUGGGCAUUGACUCGCGGCCUAUCCGCUUGUUGGUGAGGUAGUGGCUCACCAAGGCUUCGACGGGUAGCCGGCCUGAGAGGGCGACCGGCAACAUUGGGACUGAGAGACGGCCCAAGCUCCUACGGGAGGCAGCAGUGGGGAAUAUUGCACAAGGAACGGAAGUCUGAUGCAGCAACGCCGCGUGCGGGAUGACGGCCUUCGGGUUGUAAACCGCUUUCAAUUGUGACGAAGCUUUUUGUGACGGUAGCAGUAGAAGAAGCACCGGCUAACUACGUG
rnacentral:rRNA from 1 species